AUUCUCGAAAUCGUAACUGGCGCCCACAUCCCUCUCUAUUCCAUGGCGGAGCAGGAUGGCAACGCGGGGCAGAGGCCACCCGACUCCGUUCCGGUGGUUGGUGUAGGGGAUCAAAAUACUAAUCAGCAUCAACCAUUUUUUCGAUGUGCCAGCCACUUCUCACUAUUGGCUCCUUUAACAUAUACUAGCGCAUAUGGAGGCAUUCCAGUUUUUUCCCUUGGAAAUUGAUGAGAUGCAGACAUAAGGAACUGACAUAGUUUCUCAUUGAUUCUCAUUUUUCUUGAUGGCCAUUCAAUUGCUUUAUUUCUGUUUAGACUUAUUAAUGAUUAGUCCUAUGGUUGUAUUUGAUUGUAUCCUUUUUCAUUUAAGGCCAGAGCAGGAGUGGAGAUGGCGCUGAUUGACGCGUUGCUAAUAGCAUUCGCAUACCUCUGUGGAGAUUAUUUGAAGGAGCAUCGGAUAGUGUGACAACUGACAUCACGAUUCCAAUCGUGACUCCAAUGAACCUGCUCAAUUGGCUGCCGAAUACCGCGGACAAGGGUUUCAAACUCUGAAGCUCAAGGUUGGGAAGAACUUGAAUUCAGAUAUAGAAGUUCAGAAAGCUAUACGACUUGUCCAUCCAGAUUGCUCAUUUAUUUUGGAUGCGAAUGAGGGAUACACAAGAAAUCAAGCAAUUGAAGUUCUCGAUAGACUAAAUGGUAUGUUUUAUUUGGUAAUUUAUCCAUUUGAUCAGUUUUCAAUUUUGUAUCGCAUUUCAAAAUUUUUAGAACAUAGGGAGCAUCAGCAUGCUUGGUAGUUGGCAUUUCUUAGUCUUAAUUUGAAUGUGUUCACAGCUAUACUGAUAUACAAUUCUCCAAAAUGUUAAUGAAUAUGUUCUCAACAAGUAUGAUAUUGCAUCAAUUGGAUUUAGGAAUUAUGAAUAAGUAUAUUAUAUGCCCUAGCAUUCUGAACUCUGUACCUAAAUUUAGCUUUAUUUCUCUAAGCCUGUUUCAUUCAGUUACCUUGGCCGCAACAAUUGUAAAGUAAAACUGAAUGCUACAAAAAAAUUAGUUCUCUUUUUAUGUAUUUUGAUUGUUCCAAGCAGCAUAAUUAAUUACAUAGUGAUUUUGAAGUGUUCUUUUCAGUUAGUCAGUACUUUGAUGUAUAUUAGGAUUAAUCUCUGGUGUUUAAUACAGUGUUUUGUAGCGAUUAAUGGUGUUGUCUCAAUGAACUCAUACAUGUGUUUUCUUCGAUCGUACCAGGAAUCAAAUGUUGCUGGUUAGAUUCAUUUAUGUUUUGUUCGUGCUCAUGGUGUCUUGUAGAAUAGAUAGAGUGUAUGCAUGUGUUCUCUUCGGAAAGUGUAUUUUGGUGCAACAACUCCUAUUUUUGAACUCAGGUUGAUGCUUCUGUUUUUUAAUAAUCUUUCAAUGUGUUGUGCAUGAACAAAUCAACUGAGUUUUCAAGCGACGGCCGAUGGGGGAUACGGGAUAUGGCGACAUCGUCCCCCUCGACCCCUCCUCCAUCCCCGACGCGACGGCGCCAGCCUGCAGGUGUUGAAUGCUGAUUUGUUGUGGCCUGUUACGUCUUCACCAGUUCAUAUAUUAAACUUGAAGAACCACGUGGUUGAAGAAAAGCCUACUGAAAAUGAGUAAUACAUCAUCUUCGUCAAGUGGUGAGCGUGCUAUGGAGCGACAGAGGGCAAGGGGUCUAUCUUGGGUAGGGCUUGAAGGCAGUGCCAAUGGGCAGUGGUGGAUAAGCAGUAUUGGCAAAACACUUGAUGAGGGGAUAUCCUUCCACAGAGUUGGUUCAAGGCAGUGGCAGGACUACUUAUUGCUGCAUGGGCAACGAAUGACCUCAGGCCACAUGUUGGUGAUGUUGAUGCUGCUGCAGUGCCAUGUGGCUUGGGGCGCGCUAUUGGCAACAAGCAUUACAUGAACUUGAUCCGGUGUUCAAAAAGUUUUCUUUCUCAGAGAGUGUUGCAAGCUUGUUCUCUUCUUUAGGCUACAAGAGGCCUGCAGUCAUUCAAUCUAUGUACAUAUUUAAGCAACCAGGUAUUGGUGGUGAGGUUGUGCCGCACCAGGAUAAUACAUUCCUUUACACGGAACCUCGUACAUGCACAGGGCUGUGGCUUGCACUUGAAGAUGCAACAAUCAACAAUGGUUGCCUGUGGGCAAUUCUAGGAUCACAUAAAAAGGGUUUGGUGAGACGUAUGGUUAGAGAUGAAAAUGGUACACAUUUUGAUCGGCCCUCCCCAGUCUAUGAUCAGAAAGAAUUUGUACCGCUGGAAGUAAAAUCUGGUGCUUUGGUGGUUAUACAUGGAGAUCUUAUACAUCAGAGUUUUGAGAACCUUUCUCCAGCGUCAAGACAUGCAUUCAGCUUACAUGUAGUGGAUACUGAAGGAUGUAAAUGGUCCGAAGACAACUGUUGACAAUGUUGCUCUUUGGUAAGUGUUGGGGCGAAGGCAAAGACGCCACCCUUCGCUCGAGGCCUUCGCUGCAGCCGCUGGUCCGACAGAGACAAAGCGGG